rnacentral:rRNA from 1 species
ACUGAGUGGCGGACGGGUGGAGUAACGCGUGGGUAACCUGCCUCACACAGGGGGAGUAACAGUUGGAAACGGCUGCUAAUACCGCAUAAGCGCACAGUACCGCAUGGUACAGUGUGAAAAACUCCGGUGGUAUAAGAUGGACCCGCGUUGGAUUAGCUAGUUGGUGGGGUAACGGCCCACCAAGGCGACGAUCCAUAGCCGGCCUGAGAGGGUGAACGGCCACAUUGGGACUGGGACACGGCCCAGACUCCUACGGGAGGCAGCAUG